AUGACGUGAGCCGAGAUCAAGAGUCUGAUGCUUGGCCAAGAGCCACCAAGGCACUCCAUGCAAUCCUAGUUUCAACUUUCCCCAUAUGCUCUGGAAAAUUGCCCUUAAUAUACCAGGACCUGUCAGGAGAUGAGCUGAGAUCAGGUCUUCAGAUCAGGUUAACUGCUUCGUAUUUGAUCCCAACACAGAGAAAGUGGACUGCCAAAGCGGGACGGGCCCUCGGAGACUGCUCAGCCCAAAUGUGGUGUCGCAGGGAUGAAGAGAGAAACCUGACGCUCACCUGCCAACGGGGAGGGAGAGGAAUGAGAAGAAGAUGGUCUCAGAGUGAAGAAACGUGUCCCAAAUUGUACAACCCAUGAGUAGCACCGCCAAGAUUUGAACCUAAGCCUUACGACUUCGAGGCCUGACUUCUUCCACUUGAACACGUGACUUUCAAUCAAUAGAUCCACCUGCCCCACGUGUUGGUAUCACCUAAUGGUCAUUCCCAUGGCUCCUUGGGUGGACAGGACUGGAUGUGACAAUGGAAAAAUGAUCCCAACGGGCUAUCAGCCCAAGAGCUGGGUUCUAGGUGGACUCAUGGCUCCCAUGCUCUCCAGCCAUUGGCUCAGUCCAAAGGUAGAUCCCUGGACGCCAGAGGCCAGCCCAACUGCCCAGAGCUUCUCCCAGUCUUCCGACUACAUUCUCACCAACUGCAGUUUACCCCAUUCCUUCUCACUGGGCACUGUUCUAUGUUUCUCCCCUAAGUUUGUGAUAUUUCUACAAGAAUGAGGUCAGUCACCUUCCCCUGGCAAGCUGACCAAGUGCAGCAGUGAACUCUUCUUUUGUUGUUGUUGUUGUUGUUUUUAAUGUUUAUUUACUUUUGAGAGAGACAGAGACAGAAUGCGAGUGGGUUAGGGGAAGAGA